CGUAUUCCGAAGUGUUACGUCGGAGUUGUACAGAUUUGCUAAGUGUGCUCGCGACUUUUCGCGUUUUAUGAUCUCGCUUGUGUAAUUCAGCUCAAGUAUUACCAUGUCGGUGGCGUUCGCACCUCAUAGGCAGCGUGGAAAGGGCGAUAUUACCCCCGCCGGAAUACAGAAGUUACUUGAUGAAAAUAACCAUUUGAUUCAGAGUAUUAUGGACUUCCAGAGCAAGGGCAAAACAACAGAGUGUUCACAGUAUCAACAAAUACUGCACAGAAAUUUAGUGUACCUGGCCACAAUAGCAGACUCUAAUCAGAACAUGCAAUCUCUCCUCCCAGCACCACCCACUCAAACCAUGCCCAUGGGCCCGGGUGGGAUGAGCCAAAGCGGAGGCCCGCCUCAGCCCAGUCAUGGUCACAACAUGCCCUCCGAGGGUAUGGUUGGCUGCGGCCCCCCGGCCCCACACAUGCAGAACCAGAUGAAUGGACAGAUGCCUGGGCCCAAUCACAUGCCCAUGCAGGGCCCCGGUCCAGGCCCUAACCAGCCCCCGAACAUGCCCGCCGGCUCUAUGAACAUGCCUCCGAGCAGCCAUGGCUCGAUGGGCGGCUACAACCACGCUGUCCCGUCGUCGCAGGGCAUGCCAGCGCAAAGCCAGAUGAACAUGACGCAGGGCCAGCCCAUGGGCAACUACGGACCGCGACCCAACAUGAACAUGCAGCCCAAUCAAGGUCCCAUGAUGCAUCAACAGCCUCCCAGCCAGCAGUACAGCAUGCCUCCGGGCGGUGGUGGCCAGCACUACCAAGGGCAGCAGAACCCAAUGGGCAUGAUGGGCCAGGUUAACCAGAGCAAUCAUGUCAUGGGACAGAGGCCGAUGCCCCCGUAUAGACCGCCUCAGCAAGGACCCCCUCAGCAGUACCCAGGGCAGGAAGACUACUAUGGGGACCAGUACAGUCACGCAGGACAGGGAGCCUCAGAAGGUAAUGCCCAGUACGGUCAACAGCAAGAGGCUUACCAGCAAGGCCCCCCGCCACAGCAGGGUUACCCUCCUCAGCAGCAGUACCCAGGUCAGCAGGGCUACCCGCCGCAGCAGCAGGGCUACGGUCCUUCCCAGAGUGCCCCGGGACAGUACCCCAACUACCCCCAGGGACAGGGACAGCAGUACGGUGGCUAUCGCCCCCCUCAGCCCGGACCCCCGCAGGGCCAGCAGCAGCGCCCUUACGGCUACGACCAGGUGAGUAUGGGCCCAGCACUGUGAACAGCUACUACAUUUUAUGCAUACGGCUGUAGUUUGUCCCUCAUUUUUGACUUGCUGGUGUAUAUUUUGUGCAUGCUCUCAUCGUAUUUCGGCUUACUUGUGUACGUCACUAUUGCCAUUCCUGUGUUAAUCUCGGUUGUGUAUUCUGGCUAAUAUGGCAUGCCCCCUUCAGGGAAAAUAUGAGGGCUUCUUCCUUAAGUUUGCUGCAAACUGCCGUGGUUCUUCUUGCCCUGUAAUAAUAUCCUGUGGUCUCAUGUUGGGGACCAGAGCUACACUUUGAUAUCUUUAUCUUUGAAUAUUCAGGGGCACAUGAGGAAAUAAAGGCCCGGGGAUUUGAACCCCCUGACUAGCUCUAUAAGAAGCAAAGGUAAAUGGUUGCUGUGAAGACCUCAACGUCCAAUCUAGAUGUUUUGAGCACCUAGCCUCAAUUUUGCAUUUUAUGUUUUCCUUCUGUGUCUAUUCUUUCCUUCAUUUUCCUCUCCUCUUUCUUUUGUAAGGUUAAAGGAUUGCCAUUUUUAUUUCUUUUUAACACUGUUUGUUAGCCAGGGGUCGAAUUAAUAAGUAAAUGAGGUCCAGAAACGGCAUGCUUAGCCAAGAACCAAAAAACAUAAAUACAUUCUAUUUGUCUUUACUUAAUUCGUCCAAGUAAGAUUGGUAUUAUGCUUUGGAUUAAAGUUGUACUCUUAAAUUGAACACACUUCGACCCCUGUUUAGAGAUAUAUUAGCUAUUACUUCCUUGCCCUGAAUCUGUCUCACUAUAAAGUAGCAUCCUCGAGUCCAGUGUUUCUCAAAGUUGUUCACUUAAUGCAAAAAAAAAUAAAACAAUCAUAAUCGGACAGCCUACAAUCCAGGUAUACAAAAAUAAAAGCCCUGUUUACUAUUCCAACAGUGUACUUUGUGGACCUAUACGACUUAAGGCUGGACAGGCGAACAAUUCGGAGUUUGGAACUGAACUUCCCAAAAGCCAGGCAUGAAAGUUGGGUGUUUACCACAGUGUAAAAGGUAGAACCUAACUAUAAUGGACUGAAAGUACCCAUUUAUGAAUGAGUAUUAGGGUCACACUGGAAAGAAACAAAAUAUGAUACUGCAAGAACAGGGUCGUAAUCUAACUAGAGUAAAAAUCAUGCUUAAUAUUUUUUUCAAGAAACACAUUUUACAAGAAAAGUAUUUUUGGGGAAAAUGUGAUAUGAGAAUAAAGUCGAAAUUUUUAUAUGGGUGAGCGAAGGAAGGAUUUUAGGGGUGGUGUUUUCUCCCUGUGUAAAAAUGAGCAAUGUAGAGCAAUAUUGUGACGUUUUGGAAAUAAUGAAUUACUCGCGUGAGCAUCAUAUCUUAGAAGCCACUGUGUAAACAACAAGUAUCAUGAGAGAGACCGCAAAUGCUUGGCUCAGAUGGAUGAGUGACAAAGGGGAAUUUGAAAUUGACUUUUUUUGCCCUUUAAAAGUAUACAAGUAAUUGUAAUUAUAAUUUCUUCUAAAAAUGCUUUUUUUCUUUAAUUAUAUAUAAUAUAAUAUACCUUUCUUUUCUUCCUCAAAAAUACAACUUAUUGUUUCAAGAUGGCAUCUUUUUCUAAAUACACAUUUAGAAAAUGUCUUUCAUUUUUGUAUUAUACAUAGGUACUUUUUAAAGGCACAAUAUUUUUCUUUCUUGAAAAACACAGCCAUGCCUUUUUCCUUAAUGCUGUAUUCUUUUUAAAUAUGCUUUUUAAAAUUUACAAAAACAUACAUUUAAAAAACAAAGCGUUUUUUGCUGGAAAGAGACACCACCUUUUUAAAACAAUGCUUUAAGAAAAGCUUGAAAAAAAUACCACUGUUUUAUGUCAAAAGCUUUUCUUUUUCCUUAAAUGUUCCUUUAAAUAAUGGUAAAAAAGUCAUUUCCCCCGCGGAAUGUAAAAUUGUGCUCAUAGGGUAAAGACUUCUUCCUUUAAAAAAUAAAACAAAAAGACCUUUUAAAAAAUAAUAAAAUAGUUCUUUCCAGUGUGGCCCGAAUACUGGAAUGAUUGCUACACGACUUACUACUAACAGUUACUUCUGUUCUUUUCUCUUUUUACACUUGCCUGACCGUUAACUCUGCCUAAUGUGUUUAAAUUUACUCAUGGACCCCUUGUGGUUUCUUGGGGACCACCAGUGGCCCGUGGGGCACACUAUGAGAAACACUGCUCAAGCCAAUAAAGAGUCCGCCUGAAAACCUCCAGUCUCUCCAGUAGUGUUUAGAGCUCCCCACUUGUGAGGAUCUGCUCCCAUCUGCUGGUCGAUACAGGCCAACGCAGCCAUACGUCAUGGGCCAGUAUGGAAAUUACCAGCAAUGAGAAACGCCCACACAGAUGAUAUGAGAGUUACGGCAGCACAAACAAAAAUCCCCACCCCUCUGUUUUUGGGCUCAUAACCAUAAUCAUGUCAUUUCACAUGCCCCCAUCCCACCCCCCCCACCUUGUGUACAUCUCAAAGUGGCAGUGCCUUAAAGAUGGAGCUGCCUUACCCUCGAGCAUUGCGUCGACUGUACGACAAAAUUCAAAAGUGGUUCUACUGUGGUUCUUGCUUCAGAUCCCUGUUAAUAACAAGAAGCAAUAAUGCCAGCAGUAGUUGAAAAGUCUGUGUAAAGUGUAGAGGGGCAUAGAGUUUAGGUAGCAGUCAAACUUCCUGCUAUACCUGCCCAUACAGGUACACGUCUCAAAUGUAUGUCAUGAUGUAAAAAAUCUAUUUUAUUCUUUUUUUUUUUUUUUUAAGAGACGGAUGACUUUGUAUAAAACAUUGAAAGCUAGUACUAAGAUGUGUGUCAAUGUUUUUUUUUGUUUUUUAAUCCAGCACAUUGUUGUGAUCAACUGAACCAUUCAAACGAUUUCCAAUUGCUUUCCUCAAAUUGUACUUUGCAGAAGGAAAGCAAACCUGCCACUAGAACCUGUUUUUAUAAUGAAAUAUAUCUUUGCUGUACUAAAUAAGCUGUGCCAACUUUAGGGUGAAGAAAAAAAAAAGUAGUUUUUUUUCCCCCACCACGAUUUGACAAAAUGUGGCCAAAGAUGUGUUACUGUAUGUAGCGGAGACCAUUAUGAACAGAAGGCCCAAGUAAGAGACCUCUUUUACUUUUCCUUCUUUACAAGUGUAUCAGUUGUGUACAAAAGAGUAUAAAGGCCACACUGAAAAGGGAAGUUAGGAGGAAAAAAAGUGUGGAAUCCUGUACAAGCCCUCUUGGCUUCAUUCCCUCCUUGCACCGUUUUUAAAUUGUGCUAAAUAAACAAACAAACCAAAACAACUUUUAAUGUAUGAGACAUAGUUUUGUUAUGAAGGGGGGAAAACAAGUUUUAAGAAAAGUCAUGAGCAAAACAAUGUAGAUAUAAAGCCGUUAUGUUACAAGACUAACGUAACGUUUUGAGGAUAAAGUUGGAAAAUAUACGUAAAGUCGUAAGUAAUGUUUUGCGAAUAUAGUCAGUGGUGCGAGUGUAACAUUUCGGGAAUAAAGUCUUAAUGAUACGUGAAAAAGUUACAAAUCGUUAAAUUUCAACUUUAUUGUAAAUUAUUUGUUCUCUUGAUAUUACAACUACAUGUUACAACUCUUUUUGACAAUUAUAUUACAAUUUAUUUCUGGUAAAAUUAUUGCACAUUUUUCCAUACUGUUAUGAAUUUAUACUCCGGAAAUUCCACGUAUUUUUCUUAUAUUCCAAUUUUGUUUUCCUAUUUUAUUUACUCUGGUAAAAGUAGUUUGUUUUUCUCAAAAUACAUUUUGUUUCCUCCUCAUCGUUAUGGCUAUUUCUCAUACGACAAUAGCGAAUUCACUGCAAUUUUACAAUUUCAAGUUCAUGAGUGUUUCUUCUUAUACUUUUUUUCUUGCCACAUUACCAUUUUAUUCUCAUAAUAGUUGAACUGCUUUCAUUACUGUUGUUACUUUUCAGCGUGGCCCUAAUACUCCUUUGCCUAUUGACUGCAAAUAGAUGAAAUGUGAGGUCCUAUAACAGUAUUUCUGACAAUUUAUUAUGGGUUACAAUGCUGGAGUGUUUUUGAGUACAUGUCUAGGCUGUUGUCUUUUUAAGUAGUGUCGUACGUGAAUAUUAACAGUUGUCACAUAAUGUAACAUAAGAUGUGAAACAUAAUGUUCAUGUCACAUUGAGGUGCUGCCUGUGCAGUUUCCUGUCACUGGCUUGUUUGGUGGUGCGUCCCACAUUGAGAGGGCAACACUGGCCUCUCCUAUUGUUUAUAUCGUGCUGUUUUUAAAUAUUUUCCAUUCCCAUCCACAGAGCGCUCACAUUUGUGUCAUGGUAAUGUAUAACUGUACAUUCUGAUAAUAAAUUGGAGGAAUCUUUAA